AUAAUCUACCCGACAGACAGGGAUAACAUUUAGAAAUGAAUGCUAAUACCUGAUAAGCUCACGACGUCCUCGGACGAUGUGGGAAAAGGUGGGGACCUUCGGGCCUGCCGUUGUCGGAUGAGUCCGCGGCCCAUUAGCUAGUUGGUAGGGUAAUGGCCUACCAAGGCUACGAUGGGUAGCUGGUCUGAGAGGAUGAUCAGCCACACUGGAACUGAGACACGGUCCAG
rnacentral:rRNA from 1 species